rnacentral:rRNA from 1 species
GGGUACUCGAGUGGCGAACGGGUGAGUAACACGUGGGUGAUCUGCCCUGCACUUUGGGAUAAGCCUGGGAAACUGGGUCUAAUACCGAAUAGGACCGCGCUCUUCAUGGGGUGUGGUGGAAAGCUUUUGCGGUGUGGGAUGGGCCCGCGGCCUAUCAGCUUGUUGGUGGGGUAAUGGCCUACCAAGGCGACGACGGGUAGCCGGCCUGAGAGGGUGACCGGCCACACUGGGACUGAGAUACGGCCCAGACUCCUACGGGAGGCAGCAGUGGGGAAUAUUGCACAAUGGGCGCAAGCCUGAUGCAGCGACGCCGCGUGAGGGAUGACGGCCUUCGGGUUGUAAACCUCUUUCAAUAGGGACGAAGCGCAAGUGACGGUACCUAUAGAAGAAGGACCGGCCAACUACGUGCCAGCAGCCGCGGUAAUACGUAGGGUCCGAGCGUUGUCCGGAAUUACUGGGCGUAAAGAGCUCGUAGGUGGUUUGUCGCGUUGUUCGUGAAAACUCACAGCUUAACUGUGGGCGUGCGGGCGAUACGGGCAGACUAGAGUACUGCAGGGGAGACUGGAAUUCCUGGUGUAGCGGUGGAAUGCGCAGAUAUCAGGAGGAACACCGGUGGCGAAGGCGGGUCUCUGGGCAGUAACUGACGCUGAGGAGCGAAAGCGUGGGGAGCGAACAGGAUUAGAUACCCUGGUAGUCCACGCCGUAAACGGUGGGUACUAGGUGUGGGUUUCCUUCCUUGGGAUCCGUGCCGUAGCUAACGCAUUAAGUACCCCGCCUGGGGAGUACGGCCGCAAGGCUAAAACUCA